rnacentral:rRNA from 1 species
UACGGGGGGGGCAAGCGUUGUUCGGAAUUACUGGGCGUAAAGGGCUCGUAGGUGGCCAACUAAGUCAGACGUGAAAUCCCUCGGCUUAACCGGGGGAACUGCGUCUGAUACUGGAUGGCUGGAGUAUGGGAGAGGGAUGCGGAAUUCCAGGUGUAGCGGUGAAAUGCGUAGAUAUCUGGAGGAACACCGGUGGCGAAGGCGGCAUCCUGGCCAUUACUGACGCUGAGGAG